rnacentral:rRNA from 1 species
AGCAGUCGCCACGGUAAUACGAAGGGUGCAAGCGUUAAUCGGAAUUACUGGGCGUAAAGCGCGCGUAGGUGGUUUGGUAAGAUGGAUGUGAAAUCCCCGGGCUCAACCUGGGAACUGCAUCCAUAACUGCCUGACUAGAGUACGGUAGAGGGUGGUGGAAUUUCCUGUGUAGCGGUGAAAUGCGUAGAUAUAGGAAGGAACACCAGUGGCGAAGGCGACCACCUGGACUGAUACUGACACUGAGGUGCGAAAGCGUGGGGAGCAAACAGGAUUAGAUACCCGUGUAGUCCCUGUCUCUUAUAC